rnacentral:lncRNA from 1 species
UGUGGCUGCUGCGGGGACUGCAUGUAACGCACAAUGCUAAGAUGACGGCCAUUUGUAGCGCCUGCCUCUUGUGUGAUCCACAUGAGAGUAAUUUGGGUGCGGCAAUCAGCGUCCUUUGGAUGAUAUCACAUCGGAAUCAUUCCUUGAAGGAUUCCCCUUUGGUUCUUCUGAGCUACAUGUAGACGGCGCAUAUUUGGUGCACUGAAGUUUCUGUGGCACCAUUUUCGUAAGUUAGCGAUGUUCCAUCGUCAUCAAACGUACAAGCACAGACCUUAAAGCAAAGUUACUGAUAAAACAAUUCGCAAAGACGGUGCUGCCAAGGUAUUACAUCAAAGGGCAUUGUACAUCGCAUUGACUAACACCACAGCAAUAUCUUGUGACAUAUUUCGCAACUUGUGUCUUCACAGUUGGCCAAAGGUACAGCAAUGGUGAAAAUUCUCAGAAAAGUACCAUUUGUUUGGUGUCUCACCUGCUGCCUUUGCUUUCUCUAUUCUG